rnacentral:rRNA from 1 species
GACAUCGCUGUGGCGGGAGCCGAGGUAAGAAAGAGGGGGCGAGCGUUAAUCGGAUUUAGUGGGCGUUAGGCAUGCGUAGGCGGCUUGCUAAGUCUGAUUUGACAUCCCCGUGCUGAACUUGUGAAUUGCAUUCGAUGUUGGAAAACUAGAGUAUGGGAGAUGAUGGUAGAAUUCCAUGUGUAGCGGUGAAAUGCGUAGAGAUCUGGAGGAAUACCGAUGGCGAAGGCAGCCAUCUGGCCUAAUACUUACGCUGAGGUACGAAAGCAUGGGGAGCAAACAGAAUUAGAUACCCCGGUAGUC